rnacentral:lncRNA from 1 species
CGCUCUCAAUGCGGUCCAGAUGUGCAUCCACCCAGUAGAUCCUGCCAAGAAAGAGCAUGGUGUGUGGCUGCCCCAAGGCCUGCCUGGGAGCCCAAUUCUACCCACAAGGAGCUAUCUGUUCCUGAAAGCAACCGUCUGUCCGGAAAGGAGCUGAACUGCUUGGGCUGUGAGCAGACUCCUCCUCAGCAACCUGGUCAUCCUCUGACUCCUGCUGAAAUAGCUAAGCCGCAAUUCCUAGCUGCUGGAAAAGCUUUCCAUUCGUCCACUCCCCUAGUCCAGGCUCUGCCCUGCUCUGCUCAGCCCGCCCCCUUCCUGGAGGCUGUCUGGCACAGGAGUCCUACCUGCGGGUAUCAUAGUCCAAGGUGAGGCCAUUGGGCCAACCCAGGUCCGUGUUGAUGAGGACUUUCCGCUCCUGAACCAUCCAGGUUCGCCCGCUCGAUCUUGGCGAUGUGGCCCCAGUCCGUCCAGAAGAGGUUGGCCCGCCUUAGGGAGAGUCCAGGGUUGGAUGAGUGGCCAGAUGGACCAGGAACACACAGAAAACCCUUCCAUCCACAACUGGACCCCUGGACAGACUGUAAGCUCCACAGGGACAGCACCUUCCUCAGCUCCCCAUAUAAUAGGUGCUCAGUAAAAUAUCUGCAGGGCAAAAGAGUGGCUCCUUGGGAGGACAUUGCUUCCUGGACAGUGAAAACUGCCAGGUUUGGGGGCCUGUGUCUGGCUGGAGAACAGGGUCACCAUUCCCCAUCUAUCUUUGGGAGGAGGCAAGGAUGGCUAGGGGUGACUGCAGGAAGGCAGAUUUGUUUAAAAUCCACUGUGCAUUUUUACACAGCCCUGCUCAGGGAACUCCGAAACUACAAACUACCAGCGCCCACCUACUUCCCGACUUGAGAUUCCUUUUUCUUCUUCCUGGACCUAGGAUUGAAUCUAGGACACAUGGAGCUACAUCCCAGCCCUUUCUUAUUUUGAGACAGGGUCUUUUUUCCCCUAAUUUGUCCAGGCUGGGCUUGAACUUUCAAUCCUCCUGCCUCAGCCUCCAAGAGUACUGGGAUUACAGGAAAGUGCUGCGCGCUCACAGCAUUUGGGAGGCCGAGGCAGGGGCUCACUGUGGCUUCAAGGCCAGCUUGCACUACACAGCGAGACUCUGUCUCCACAAACAGUAACUUUAUAAACCACCGCAGGCGUUGACAUUUGGGGCUGCCUGUCAGAGGGUCCUAGGGGAUUCUGGGAGCUCCCUCAGGGCCCAGCGCCAAAUGUGGAAGGCUCCAGUCCCCAACCUAACCUAAUCUGUUUUUUAAAUUCAUGUUUUACCUACUGGGGUCCCAUAUACUC